rnacentral:ncRNA from 2 species
GCACGUGCUCCGGGGUCGGUGUAAUUCCGAACCGGCGGUGAUAGUCCGCGACCCGCGGCCACGGGCCUCCAACCGGAGGUCGGUGGGGCGGUUGAUCUGGUGAAAUUCCAGAACCGACGGUGAAAGUCCGGAUGAGAGGCAGCACGUGC